rnacentral:rRNA from 1 species
CAAACUGGAGAUGGCGACCGGCGCACGGGUGAGUAACACGUAUCCAACCUGCCGAUAACUCUGGAAUAGCCUUUCGAAAGAAAGAUUAAUACCGGAUAGUAUACGAAUAUCGCAUGAUAUUUUUAUUAAAGAAUUUCGGUUAUCGAUGGGGAUGCGUUCCAUUAGUUUGUUGGCGGGGUAACGGCCCACCAAGACUACGAUGGAUAGGGGUUCUGAGAGGAAGGUCCCCCACAUUGGAACUGAGACACGGUCCAAACUCCUACGGGAGGCAGCAUG